rnacentral:tRNA from 1 species
UAGGUUGUUGAUGUAGUGGUAACAUGAUGGUCUCCAAAACCAUUCUCAGGGGUUCGAAUCCUCUACAGCCUGCUCU